ACUCCUACGGGAGGCAGCAGUAAGGAAUAUUGCGCAAUGGGCGACAGCCUGACGCAGCGACGCCGCGUGGGGGAUGAAGGUCUUCGGAUUGUAAACCCCUUUCGGCAGGGAAGAUGGAACGGGUAACCGUUCGGACGGUACCGCAGAAGCAGCCACGGUUAACUUCGUGCCAGCAGCCGCGGUAAUACGAAGGUGGCAAGCGUUGUUCGGAUUUACUGGGCGUACAGGGAGCGUAGGCGGUUGGGUAAGCCCUCCGUGAAAUCUCCGGGCCUAACCCGGAAAGUGCGGAGGGGAUCUGCUCGGCUAGAGGAUGGGAGAGGAGCGCGGAAUUCCCG
rnacentral:rRNA from 1 species